rnacentral:rRNA from 1 species
UUAAGAAUCUUGCGCAAUGGGGUAACCCCUGACGCAGCGACGCCGCGUGCGGGAUGAAGGCCUUCGGGUUGUAAACCGCAGUAGACAGGGACGAAGAAAGUGACGGUACCUGUCCGAAGCACCGGCUAACUACGUGCCAGCAGCCGCGGUAAUACGUAUGGUGCAAGCGUUGUUCGGAUUCACUGGGCGUAAAGGGCGCGCAGGUGGGUCAUUAAGUCGGAUGUGAAAACCAUGGGCUCAACCCAUUGGCCUGCAUCCGAAACUGGUGACCUGGAGUCUCGGAGAGGCAGGCGGAAUUUCCGGUGUAGCGGUGAAAUGCGUAGAUAUCGGAAGGAAUACCAAGGGCGAAGGCAGCCUGCUGGACGGUGACUGACACUGAGGCGCGAAAGCGUGGGGAGCAAACAGGAUUAGAUACCCCCGUAGUCC